rnacentral:sRNA from 1 species
UGAGCUGCCACAUGUGGCAGGCAGUGUUUACACAGAAAACAUUCGGAAAACCCCAAAAAAUACACAAAAUUCACUUAAAAUAAUGCCAGGCAAGCAGGUCAGCUUCGACGAGAAGAACCUCCAAGGGGAGAGUCCAAGUGGACCGGCAGGCCGCCCACGCCCACGCCCGGGCCCUGCAGGAAGGCCUGCAGCAGAAGUGCCGGCCCAGCCCCAGAACGGGAGAGAUGGGCCUGUCCUGAAGCGACGUCUUUGAACACCGGCAGGAAGCAGGCAGCGAGGACUUGGAGCACGCGCCGCCACCCCAAGGACCCUGCCGCAAAAGGCUUGGGAAACUGUCACUUGAUCGCUGACCCGUGUCAAGCCUCGGUGGCACGUGUGGCCGUGUGCACCUGAGCCUUUUUGCAGCUAAUUGAAUUACAAUUUUUGACUGCCACAACCCCCACGCAGAUUCAUUCCCUAGGAAGAUCCUGGCACGUAUGCGACAGGAAGGAGUCCCCCCCUCCCGUUCCCCUACCCCUUCCCCCAGUAUGACAACACAAGCCGAAAAAGAAACCAUGAAUCUCCCGAAGCAAAUAAACAAAUUACAACAGA